ACUGAGGGAAGAAUCUAAGUUAACCUCGGUAGUGACCAUGUGGAAGUCCUGACCUCGCUUGCAGACUUGACCUCUGGAUAUGACAGGCUCAUGAAAAGAAGUGCUGAAUCAGCGAAUAGAGUGAACUAACAAUCAAGAUGAGAUGGCUGCUGCUGAUGUGACUCUCUAGGUCAUUACCUCUCUUCCUACUGCAAAUGCUGCAUGACACUAAACUUACAGGUGACAGAGUACCACGAGGCCUGCGCUUUUAGGGAUGCUUAUGACUUUCUGCAUGCUUACCUAUUACUGACUCAAGGAUCUAGAAACAAACCACAAAAAGAGAAGAAAUUCGCUCUGAAGACACACUAGGCUGAUCUUACCAAUUUCUGAAAUACUCUGUAAAACUUCACUGAUCCUAUGACUCUCUUGCAAAAAGAACCAAACCAGGACAAAGUUCAAAAGAUAAGUCAAAUAUUUAGAAAUGUCUAUGUCCACCAAGAACAAGGAACCAUAAAUGGCAUUAAUGCCAUGCUUCAGGUAAAUUUGUCAUAGAGUUUAGUAUUUGAAAAAUUAGUCUCUGCAAAUGAUCUACCACUGCUCUACAUCAGUAAGCUGAAUGUUUUACUAACAAAUAGGAAAAUAAAAUAUUUCAUGUUUUUACAGCUAACAACUUAGUAAUACCUACUCAGAGUACAUACUUCUUUAUGUACCCAUAUGAACAUACAAUGCUAUGGAAUGUAAAGAAGUAUGUAUUUUUGGUAGGCAAUAAACCACCAACAGAGAACUAACCUACAGCUAAAAGAAGCCCUUGCUUCUUUCUACGUGAAUGACCUUCAUAUGGUAAAUUAACAUAGUAUCAAAUAGAAGACCUCAGGCAAUACUUACACCAAAAAAAUGUACCUACUAGUUAUAAAUGAAAACUAAAUAUCGCUAAGAUUUAUACUUUGCGAAGGAGAAGUUCUACUGAAGUAGAUUUCAGAUUGUCAUGAAACCCUUUUUAAAUCAUUUAACUUUAAAACACUACAUUUUACAUUUUUAAGUAUUCAUGUGAUUAAAUUUGCCUACAAAAGGGAAAAUAGUAUUAUAAGCACAAAAGAUUGAGGGAUACACAAACCUAUUUCCUGUCUCUACAAUCUGAUCUUAAUUUAAGUAUAUCACAUUAGUAAGACCAACUGACUUGUUAAGAAAAGUAUGAUACAACAAAAGUUGACUUCAUUCACAUUUUAACAGCUAUUUCUUCACAAACUGAUAUAUUUAUAAGCUAUUGAUUUUAGAGGAAUUUCUGAUCAAAAGUUUUAUUGCUUUAGGUUUUCUUUUUUGACAGCAACAGAGCAAAAUCUUUUAAGAAAAAUUCUACUGUCAAAAAAAAGGGCCCUUGUCCUCAAGUUUAUCAGGUCCUUAAUCCAUCUCCACUUUAAAUGUGAAGUUAGUACUUAAUAUUAACUAAAACAUAAGAUUUAAGCAUGAAAGAUGACAAAAUUCUGGGCCACAGCUGUAAGUCAACAGGGUAUAUUAGCAACGGACUGCCAAAUAUUAGGAAAAUAAUAGUUUAUUAACUGUAUUAUCUUUAAAUUUGCUUUCUCCCCAGGGGGGCAUGUGAAAUGAAAACACUAUUACGGUCAAGAACCAAUUUAUACAGAUAGAAUAAUCAUUUUUAUUGGUACUGUAUAUUACAAUUCAAUUUUUAUAAACAUAAUAG